AGUGAACGCUGGCGGUAGGCCUAACACAUGCAAGUCGAACGGCAGCACAGUAAGAGCUUGCUCUUACGGGUGGCGAGUGGCGGACGGGUGAGGAAUACAUCGGAAUCUACUUUUUCGCGGGGGAUAACGUAGGGAAACUUACGCUAAUACCGCAUACGACCUACGGGUGAAAGCAGCGGAUCUUCGGACCUUGCGCGAUUGAAUGAGCCGAUGUCGGAUUAGCUAGUUGGCGGGGUAAAGGCCCACCAAGGCGACGAUCCGUAGCUGGUCUGAGAGGAUGAUCAGCCACACUGGAACUGAGACACGGUCCAGACUCCUACGGGAGGCAGCAGUGGGGAAUAUUGGACAAUGGGCGCAAGCCUGAUCCAGCCAUACCGCGUGGGUGAAGAAGGCCUUCGGGUUGUAAAGCCCUUUUGUUGGGAAAGAAAAGCAGCAGGUUAAUACCCCGCUGUUCUGACGGUACCCAAAGAAUAAGCACCGGCUAACUUCGUG
rnacentral:rRNA from 1 species